AGUCCUCCACUCUGGGGGUAAAAAGCUUUUUGCUGUUCACCCUGUCUAUACCCUCAUGAUUUUGUUGACCUCAAUCAGGUCCCCCCCAAUCUCCAUCUUUCUCAUGAAAAUAAUCCUAGUCUACUCAACCUCUCUUCAUGGCGAGCACCCUCCAUACAAGGCAGCAUCCUGGUGAACCUCCUCUGCACCCUCUCCAAAGCAUCCACAUCCUUUUGGUAAUGUGGCGACUGGAACUGUGCACAGCAGUCCAAAUGUGGCCAAACCAAAGUCCGAUACAACUGCAACAUGACCUUGGCAAGUCUUGUACUCAAUACCCCAUCCAAUGAAGGAAAGCAUGCCAUAUGCCUUCGAGACCACCCUAUUGACCUGCGUUGUCACCUUCAGGGAACAAUGGACCUGAACACCCAGAUCUCUCUGUUCAUCAAUUUUCCCCAAGACUUUUCCAUUUACUGUAUAGUUCGUCCUUGAAUUUGAUCUUCCAAAAUGCAUCACCUCGCAUUUGCCCGGAUUGAACUCCAUCUGCCAUUUAUCUGCCCAACUCUCCAGUCUACCUAUGUUCUGCUGUAACCUCUGAUAGUCCCCUUCACUAUCGGCUUCUCCAUUCCUCCCUUGUAGUGUGAUUAGGCAAGACUAAGGAGGCAUAGAAUGGGUUAGCAAAAUGCAGGGCAAUGGGGACAAUUGAAUUGUGGAGCUGGUUUAAGGAGCAGAUAUUGCGUGUCCUUGAUAGGUACGUCCCUGUCAGGCAGGGAGGAAGCGAUCAGCUAAGGGAACCGUGGUUUACUAAAAAAAUUGUAUCUCUUGUUAAGCAGAAGAGGGAGGCUGAUGUGACGAUGAGACCAGAUGGUUCACAUGAGGUGAUGGAGAGCUACAGAUUAGUUAGGAAGGAUUUAAAGAGAGAGUUAAGAAGAGCAAGGAGGGUACACGAGCAGACACUGGCAGUCUUUUCCAGUCCCAUGCUGAGUAUUGUUAUCCCAAUAGUUCUUUAAUGUCAGUGUGUGUGUAUUCCUGGGCGACUAUGCUCGUGUGGUCUACGGAGUUGUGGAGGUCACAGUUCUAGGACAGCCAUUUCAUAGGCCUCUGCUGCAGAAUCUACUCCGGAAGAGAGAGCCCAGAGAAUUGCCAAAGCUGUCUGCAAGCAGUCAAUUGACGUGAAGGAAAAUUGGGAGCAAUUGAAAACCCAUGCGAGCAACUGGCAGAACAAGGUGGAAAAGGCGUUAGAGAAACUUCAAGAACUGCAGAAAGCUCUGGAUGAUCUUGAGUCUCAUGUGAUAACAGCUGAGGGGGUCCACAUUGAUUGGCAACCUGUGAAUGACCUGUUUAUUGACGCAUUGCAGGAUCACAUGGAUAAAACCACAGACUAAAGGUGAAGUCUGACCACGCCAUUUGGCCACUCCUUAGAGAGACACAACUGGUUAUGAUUUAACCUGAAGAUCACCAUGCCUCGGGCAAGUAAAGCGGUUGAGGCGAAGAUCCUUUGUGGUUAAGGACUGUCUGCAAAAUCUGAGAUUGGGUUUUGAAACACAUCAACCUUUGCUUGCGAGAGAUAAUGGUAACUGCAGAUGCUAGAGAAUGCGAGAUAACAAUGUGUGGAGCUGGAUGAACACAGCAGGCCAAGCAGCAUCUCAGGAGCACAAAAGUUGACAUUUCGGGCCUCGACCCUUCAUGCGAGAGAACGUAACGUUUUUAAAGAAGAAAUUGCCCCAGUCAAACAAGAAGUCAAAAUAUUAAAUGAUCUGGGAUGUCAGUUAUCUCCGCUUGAUGUCUCUUUCUCUCCAAAGAUUUCUCACCAGCUUGAUGACCUAAAUAUGAGGUUGAAAUUUAUACAGCAGCAGGAGGUGAGGAGGCAGAGACUGCAACCCUGAGGUCACGGAGGGAAGGAAAAGAGGCUCUUACUUGGAGAUUGAGAAGCAGGAGAGGGCACAACCCAGAGGUUUGGGAGUGGAGAGAGGCUGCAAGUUGGAGGUCAAGGUGAUUUAAACACCGUGCGUUUUUCUGCAUAUCGGCCAGCAAUGAAGAUCCGCCGACUCCAGAAAGCGCUCUGUUACCACAUCAGGUGAAGAUGUGUGUGAUUUCACCAAGGUGCUGAAAAAUAACUUCAGAUCAAAGAAAUACUUUGCCAAACAUCCUUGCUUGGGUUAUUUACCACUACAAACAGUCCUAGAAGUAAUUGCAUGACAGUUUGAAUGGUUCGUUGAGCGUGAGGAACCUAUGGACUCUCAUACACCAAGAU